AUCCUCAGCCACUGAUGGAUUGUGCCAUUUGCUAUAAAACGAUGGAUGAGCAAAUAGAAACUACUCCGGAGCCGUACGUUCACUGCAUCCAGAGACCGAGGCUCACAGAGGAAAUGACAACAACACGGAUGAACCACUGGAAGAAGAUGACCUACAAAACCGGCGGUGCCACUAUUAUGGCCCUGUCCACUGGCUAAAGAUGCUCUUUACAUGCAAAGCAUCACACCAGACAGACUUCACACAUGCAUAAAUAACUCUGUCAAAAUG